UGUUAGGUUGGAGCUCUUUUACCUGAAGGGUCCUUUGCAGCAGGGGGUAGAAAGUGGGGGGUGGGGGUGAAGAGCAUCAGAGAAAAGAUCAAAAGCAAGAAUUCUUGGCUGGGAGGUGCCACAGUGCAGAAGGCAUUCCACGCCACUUGCUGACCCCUCUCAGCAAUUCUAAGUGAUCUUUUUCAGUCCGAGUGGUUUUAGGACUCGAGUGAAAAGUGGAAGACCAGGUGGGAUGGUCUGUGUUGAAGACUUGCCUGUUGAGCUGCCUGGAUGAUCUUCAUCAAACAACCCUCAUCUUUCUGGAUCCCAGUUUAAAUAUGCUUAAAAUGGUGAAGCUGAGCUGAUCUCCAAUUUCCCUUCUGGUCUG
rnacentral:lncRNA from 1 species